GAUGGUGACGCAACCAGGAUGGCGUGACCUAGGAAGUGGAGGAAAUGUAUUGAGGUCAUACCGUAGUCUAGAUGAGUGGGGCGCACAGUAGAAGGUCACCAUGACGUCAGCUGUGGACUUCUGGUUGGCUCAUAGGGAAAUCGCUAAUGCGCAAGCUGGACUGGCCGGCUGUUGGCCUCCUCCUACACGGAUGGAUUUAGACUUCACUUUGAAGAACAACUACAGAGGCUAUGGUUGGCAGUCACGUCCAAGGAUUUCUCAUGAGUAGUAG